AUCGUGUAAUAUUGUUACAACAUACUUACUAAAAUGUACAGUUGCCACCCAAUGCAUUUAUUAAAAAAAUACUAGAUUUUUGCAGUAAACACAGUUAUGCCGUUGAAAUUGUGCUUAUGGCUCGCUAAAUGAAAAGUAAAAUAGUGUAAAAACUCGUUUGUGAGUUAAAACUGUCUAGUGGCAGGGCGAUAUGGCUUUAGUCCAACAAUACUUUAUUAGCCUUCUUCUUACAGUAUCUAAGCUAACUGUGGCACCUGCAGCAUGUUGUUAGGAAACAAUUUCGUUUCCGGAAAUAUGACAGCAAUUAAUUGAACAUAAGUUUAAAUAUUGUACUUUAUAAACUUAUAGAAUUAUGUACAGAUAUUUCUACAAUAAAAUGAUUUAAAAUCUG